rnacentral:lncRNA from 1 species
UUCUCCUCCGUACUAUUACCAAUCCCCACCACCACCUUCACCAAAACCCAAUCCUCCAUAUUACUACCAAUCCCCACCUCCACCUUCACCAAAACCCAAGCCUCCGUACUACUACCAAUCUCCACCUCCACCAACACCAGUAGUAAAGCCACCUUACUACUACCAAUCUCCACCUCCACCAUCACCGGUACCCAAACCUCCAUACUACUACCAAUCACCACCUCCACCAUCACCAAAACCCAAGCCUCCAUACUACUACCAAUCCCCACCUCCACCAACACCAGUAGUAAAGCCACCUUACUACUACCAAUCUCCACCUCCACCAUCACCGGUACCCAAACCUCCAUACUACUACCAAUCACCACCUCCACCAUCACCAAAACCCAAGCCUCCAUACUACUACCAAUCCCCACCUCCUCCAUCACCAGUACCUAAGCCUCCAUACUACUACCAAUCUCCACCACCCCCAUCACCAGUACCCAAGCCUCCAUACUAUUACCAAUCUCCACCUCCACCUUCACCGAAACCCAAGCCUCCGUACUAUUACCAAUCCCCACCACCACCUUCACCAAAACCAAAGCCUCCGUACUAUUACCAAUCCCCACCUCCACCAUCGCCAGUACCCAAGCCUCCGUACUACUACCAAUCUCCGCCUCCACCAUCACCGGUACCUAAACCUCCAUACUACUACCAAUCUCCACCUCCACCAUCACCAGUAACAAAGCCUCCGUACUAUUACCAAUCUCCGCCUCCACCAUCACCGGUAC